GACGUAGGGGGCAAGCGUUGUUCGGAAUUAUUGGGCGUAAAGCGCUCGUAGGCGGGACAGGAAGUUCGUGUUGAAAGACCUCGGCUCAACUGAGGGACCGGCUCGAAUACUCUUGUUCUUGAGGCAAUCAGAGGGUGAUGGAAUUCCCGGUGUAGCGGUGAAAAUGCGUAGAUAUCGGGAGGAACACCAGUGGCGAAGGCGACUUCCUGGACCAAUACUGACGCUCAUGUGCGAAAAGCGUGGGGAGCAAACGGG
rnacentral:rRNA from 1 species